GAUCAUGGCUCAGGAUGAACGCUAGCGGCAGGCCUAACACAUGCAAGUCGAGGGGCAGCACGGUGUAGCAAUACACUGGUGGCGACCGGCGCACGGGUGCGUAACGCGUAUGCAACCUUACCCAUAACAGGGGGAUAACACUGAGAAAUUGGUACUAAUACCCCAUAACAUCAGGACCGGCAUCGUUCUGUUGAAACACCGUGGUUAUGNUGGUCGAUGCGUGUAUUA
rnacentral:rRNA from 1 species